UCUUAGAUGACUGAAAAUAAGUGCUAGAUUUUUAAUCUAGAUAUGGCACAACCUUUUGCCUCUAAGAG
rnacentral:tRNA from 1 species